GACGAGCCUCACGAACGUUAUUCGGAAUCACUGGGCUUAAAGGGUGCGUAGGCGGCUUGUCGCGUCGUCCGUGAAAACUCACAGCUCAACUGUGAGCUUGCGGGCGAUACGGGCAGACUAGAGUACUGCAGGGGAGACUGGAAUUCCUGGUGUAGCGGUGGAAUGCGCAGAUAGUCAGGAGGAACACCGGUGGCGAAGGCGGGUCUCUGGGCCAACUACUGACGCUGAGAAGCGGAAAGCAUGGGGAGCGAACAGG
rnacentral:rRNA from 1 species